CCUCUGGACGCACGAGAUGGAUGGAUUUUUACUGCACAUUACUGGAAAAACAUUGUAGCUUUUCAAUUUCAGGUUGGUCAGUUUUCUUCCCUUCAAAGGGUGCAUGGCGUGAAGUUAUUGCUGAUCUAACCUGGAAGAAUCCCAUAGGCUGUAUAACUGUUACGAGAGCUUGGUGUAAUCUGAUGCAAACCGGAACUAGAUUAGCAGUUCCAAAGAUGAAUGGAGCAGCGGAGUUGCAUAUGAAGGCAAACCAACAAGUUUGCAUCAUAGUUGCCCAGGAAGGUAGGAACUCAUUUGCUGCUGUACUAACCGAACUAUUUGCUUAUAGGCAAUGAGAUUUUGAUCAUGGAAGGAUGCGGCUAUUUUGAUGAGAGUAUAAUGCAGGAGAUCGGUUAUUAGGUCUGACUGUAUUGUAAUGUAGUACUCCCUUCGUCUCAAAAGAAGUUAGUACAAAAUUGAGACACUUAUUUUGGGACGGAGGGAGUACAUUAUUGUGAUUAUUUUGCUUAUGUUGUACACAUCUAGAAUAGGCAACAAUGAGAUGGUCUGUCUGCACGAAGUUUAGUUCAAAAACUACAUGCAAAUGUUAAAAAUUCAGAAUGUUCGGGAGAGAGUAGAACAGAGAAGGGAGAGAAGGAACAACCAAGAUCCAAGCUAUGUGCUACAACUCAAUCACAUAUGGUCUACAAUCUUGGUUACUCGAUGUUCAGAUUAUUGUAAUUUUUGUACCUAAAAGGUCUUAACUAUAUUAAGCAUGUAUAAUUUUCAAAUAUUAAUAGUUAAGUUCUUGAAACCCUAUGAAGCAAUCACCUGUACCCCAUGAUCUUACUAUGCUUCACAUAGCUGAGUUAGCGCUACGUUUUGCAUGCCAUUCUUUGAUGAAUCUUCAUUUGUUGGUCAAUGGUAUCCUGGUCUACAUGGUUACAUUUUGUUGUUUCAAAUAAUAGUGCUUUCCUCAUCAAUGGGUUUUGCUUUAGGUAAUAUAAGACACAUGAUCGAUGUCCAUGAGGGGAGCAGUUCUCAGAUUUCCCAUGGUCAGCAGAACGGCCAGGGUCCUAUUUCUUAGUGGAUAGUUGGUUUCUGGUGGAUCCAAUCACCAUUUCUUGGAAAAUAUUUCCUGAGCAAAUGGUACAAGUGAUCAUGUACCAGUGCUUUCA
rnacentral:lncRNA from 1 species